UUUAAUGGUCAUGUGUUGUUAUCCCCAAUUUGGAGUUAUUGCCUUCUUUGUACAUUUUGUCUUUCCUUGUCGGGUUGAUGUCUUUAAAAGGGAAAUAAUCUAUGUAGUAGUAGUUAAUUGGAAAUUUAGGGCGGUAUUAAUGAAUUUGUCUUGAGGACAGUAGUUGGUUAAACAAUUUUGUGUUUUUUUAAACUGGUAGUAUUUAGUAUUUAUUUUGACUACGUAAGUCAGAGUAGGAUAAAUUUUUUUUUUUU
rnacentral:lncRNA from 1 species